rnacentral:rRNA from 1 species
CCUACGGGAUGCUGCAGUGGGGGAUAUUGCACAAUGGGGGAAACCCUGAUGCAGCGACGCCGCGUGUGGGAAGACGGUCCUCUGGAUUGUACACCACUGUCCCCAGGGACGAAGAUGACGGUACCUGGGGAGGAAGCUCCGGCUAACUACGUGCCAGCAGCCGCGGUAAUACGUAGGGAGCGAGGGUUGUCCGGAAUUACUGGGUGUAAGGGGAGCGUAGGCGGGACUGCAAGUUGGGUGUAAAAUCUACCGGCUCAACCGGUAGCCGCACUCAAAACUGCAGUUCUUGAGUGAAGUAGAGGCAGGCGGAAUUCCUAGUGUAGCGGUGAAAUGCGUAGAUAUUAGGAGGAACACCAGUGGCGAAGGCGGCCUGCUGGGCUUUUACUGACGCUGAGGCUCGAAAGUGUGGGGAGCAAACAGGAUUAGAUACCCUUGUAGUC